rnacentral:rRNA from 1 species
AUUGAACGCUGGCGGCAGGCCUAACACAUGCAAGUCGGACGGUAGCACAGAGGAGCUUGCUCCUUGAGUGACGAGUGGCGGACGGGUGAGUAAUGUCUGGGGAUCUGCCCGAUAGAGGGGGAUAACCACUGGAAACGGUGGCUAAUACCGCAUAACGUCGCAAGACCAAAGAGGGGGACCUUCGGGCCUCUCACUAUCGGAUGAACCCAGAUGGGAUUAGCUAGUAGGCGGGGUAAUGGCCCACCUAGGCGACGAUCCCUAGCUGGUCUGGGAGGAGGACCAGGCACACUGGAACUGAGACACGGUCCAGACUCCUACGGGAGGCAGCAGUGGGGAAUAUUGCACAAUGGGCGCAAGCCUGAUGCAGCCAUGCCGCGUGUAUGAAGAAGGCCUUCGGGUUGUAAAGUACUUUCAGCGGGGAGGAAGGCGGUGAGGUUAAUAACCUCGCCGAUUGACGUUACCCGCAGAAGAAGCACCGGCUAACUCCGUGCCAGCCGCCGCCGUAA